CCAAUUUCGAAAACGAUGUCGACUUGGAGGCUGUGAGCAUGACUCGUGGCUUCCGGAGCUAACGCGUUAAGUCGACCGCCUGGGGAGUACGGCCGCAAGGUUAAAACUCAAAUGAAUUGACGGGGGCCCGCACAAGCGGUGGAGCAUGUGGUUUAAUUCGAUGCAACGCGAAGAACCUUACCUGCUCUUGACAUCCACGGAAUUCGGCAGAGAUGCCUUAGUGCCUUCGGGAACCGUGAGACAGGUGCUGCAUGGCUGUCGUCAGCUCGUGUUGUGAAAUGUUGGGUUAAGUCCCGCAACGAGCGCAACCCUUAUCCUUUGUUGCCAGCGAUUCGGUCGGGAACUCAAAGGAGACUGCCGGUGAUAAACCGGAGGAAGGUGGGGAUGACGUCAAGUCAUCAUGGCCCUUACGAGCAGGGCUACACACGUGCUACAAUGGCGCAUACAAAGAGAAGCGACCUCGCGAGAGCAAGCGGACCUCACAAAGUGCGUCGUAGUCCGGAUCGGAGUCUGCAACUCGACUCCGUGAAGUCGGAAUCGCUAGUAAUCGUGGAUCAGAAUGCCACGGUGAAUACGUUCCCGGGCCUUGUACACACCGCCCGUCACACCAUGGGAGUGGGUUGCAAAAGAAGUAGGUAGCUUAACCUUCGGGAGGGCGCUUACCACUUUGUGAUUCAUGACUGGGGUGAAGUCGAA
rnacentral:rRNA from 1 species